rfam:Bombyx mori DNA, contig: Bm_scaf4_contig3962, strain: p50T/Dazao, build 2, whole genome shotgun sequence.
UUACCUCAAAUUAGUAUGGAAUUGGAACGUUUGCCUACGUUUACCCCUAGGGGCACUGUGCCAACUGCAUACAAAUUUGAGUUA